rnacentral:lncRNA from 1 species
AUGGGGGAAACUCUCCCAGUGGUUUUUGGAGCCUUUUUUCUUUGUCUCCUGAUCCCACUUGAAGCUUUCAGUGAUUUUGACAUUAAAAUGGGAAGCCAAAUAACAGCAGGGAAAAUAUCUGUGCCAUGUCUUAGGGAAGAUUCUCGCAGACUUUCCAGCAAGCCUUGGGAAACUGCAGCGGGGACCCCAAACCUGCAAACUAAUGGUGAGGCUACCAAAUAGUCUGGCAGUCCUGAAGGCAUUCUCAGUCAUUUCCCCAGUAAUGGAUUUGUACUGCUUAAAGGAGAUGUAUGAAACACAAGUGAACUUUACAUGAGAAUUUGUGCAAGAAAGUCAUGUUCACUUAAUUGUGCAAACUCUGUUAAAGUUGCCCCAAGAGAUCUAACAUUGAAACAGUACACAAGUAUGUAGAAUUAUUGGAUGGCCCGGGUUGAAAAGGACCACAAAGAUCAUCUAGUUCCAACCGCCCUGCUAUGUGCAGGGUCGCCAACCACCAGACCAGGCUGCCCAGAGCCACAUCCAGCCUGGCCUUGAAUGCCUCCAGGGAUGGGGCAUCCACAACCUCCUUGGGCAACCUGUUCCCGUGGAAUGGAAUGUCAAAGCCUUACACUGCAGAAAAGCAAGGGGAAAGAGAUGAAAUGACUCUGGUAGCUUAAGCCAGCAUUCAAAUAAAUUACCCUUGAAUGCUCCUUCCAUCAAACCUUGGGGAGGAAUCACAAGCUGCUGGUAGGUGGCCGGGACCCAGUGCCACCUGCUGGGGUCCAUCUCCCAGCUGUGUGCCUGCUUCCAUGUGGACAUCGUUUCAGGGCUGGCCACUCUUGGCUCUGCAUGCUAAUGAACAGCUGCUCCUGGUGCAAGGCUGACCUCAGGCCGAGGUGCACUGCUGAACUGGCUUGUAGCAAACACAUGGGAAAACACUCCUUUCUCUUGCUUGAAUGUGCAGGAAGCUGUGGGUGAGCCACUCAGCCACGUGACAAGUCAGGCACCAAGUCAUGUCCCUCUGCUUUUACAGGUCAGCAACCUCGAGUCCGGAGUAGAUUAAAAACAUGGCCCAGAAAGUAUGGGCUGGUGUGGGAGCACAGUGGCCAGAUGUGAAAUGCUGCCAGGGUUUGUUGGUGGAGUGCUUCAUGACAGUGGCCACUGGAGCAGCUCUGGGGAGCACUGUAAGCUACCUGCACACCCUCUGCUGUUCAUGGGGAUGGUGUAGUUGGCCAUGACAGAAGGAUCAGAUGAAAUUGAUACUACAAUUCUUAUUAGCAUUCUUUUAUAACUUUCUCUACUAUUUUUUCAAUUGCUC